UCGCGCGUUGGGGUGCGGUGGUGCUCGGCCCGCUCGUCAUGGGUCCGGGAGAGGAUCCCGCUCCCGUCGCCGUGGUUCUCGCGCCGCCGCGUGCGGU
rnacentral:tRNA from 1 species